rnacentral:rRNA from 1 species
GACGAACGCUGGCGGCGUGCUUAACACAUGCAAGUCGAACGAAGAGCGAUGGAAGCUUGCUUCUAUCAAUCUUAGUGGCGAACGGGUGAGUAACGCGUAAUCAACCUGCCCUUCAGAGGGGGACAACAGUUGGAAACGACUGCUAAUACCGCAUACGAUCUAAUCUCGGCAUCGAGGAUAGAUGAAAGGUGGCCUCUACAUGUAAGCUAUCACUGAAGGAGGGGAUUGCGUCUGUUUAGCUAGUUGGAGGGGUAACGGCCCACCAAGGCGAUGAUCAGUAGCCGGUCUGAGAGGAUGAACGGCCACAUUGGGACUGAGACACGGCCCAGACGCCUACGGGAGGCAGCAGUGGGGAAUCUUCCGCAAUGGACGAAAGUCUGACGGAGCAACGCCGCGUGAGUGAUGACGGCCUUCGGGUUGUAAAGCUCUGUUAAUCGGGACGAAAGGCCUUCUUGCGAAUAGGGAGAAGGAUUGACGGUACCGGAAUAGAAAGCCACGGCUAACUACGUG